GAUGAACGCCGGCGGCGUGCCUAAUACAGGCAAGUCGAGCGAACAGACGAGGAGCUUGCUCCUCUGACGUUAGCGGCGGACGGGUGAGUAACACGUGGAUAACCUACCUAUAAGACUGGGAUAACUUCGGGAAACCGGAGCUAAUACCGGAUAAUAUAUUGAACCGCAUGGUUCAAUAGUGAAAGACGGUUUUGCUGUCACUUAUAGAUGGAUCCGCGCCGCAUUAGCUAGUUGGUAAGGUAACGGCUUACCAAGGCAACGAUGCGUAGCCGACCUGAGAGGGUGAUCGGCCACACUGGAACUGAGACACGGUCCAGACUCCUACGGGAGGCAGCAGUAGGGAAUCUUCCGCAAUGGGCGAAAGCCUGACGGAGCAACGCCGCGUGAGUGAUGAAGGUCUUCGGAUCGUAAAACUCUGUUAUUAGGGAAGAACAAAUGUGUAAGUAACUAUGCACGUCUUGACGGUACCUAAUCAGAAAGCCACGGCUAACUACGUG
rnacentral:rRNA from 1 species